rnacentral:rRNA from 1 species
GAUGAACGCUGGCGGCGUGCUUAACACAUGCAAGUCGAACGAAGCACUUUAUUUGAUUUCCUUCGGGACUGAUUAUUUUGUGACUGAGUGGCGGACGGGUGAGUAACGCGUGGGUAACCUGCCUUGUACAGGGGGAUAACAGUUGGAAACGGCUGCUAAUACCGCAUAAGCGCACGGCAUCGCAUGAUGCAGUGUGAAAAACUCCGGUGGUAUAAGAUGGACCCGCGUUGGAUUAGCUAGUUGGUGAGGUAACGGCCCACCAAGGCGACGAUCCAUAGCCGACAUGAGAGGGUGACCGGCCACAUUGGGAGUGAGACACGGACCAAACUCCUACGGGAGGAAGCAGUGGGGAAUAUUGCACAAUGGGCGAAAGCCUGAUGCAGCGACGUCGCGAGAGCGAAGAAGUAUUUCGGUACGUAAAGCUCUAUCAGCAGGGAAGAUAAUGACGGUACCUGACUAAGAAGCACCGGCUAAAUACGUG